UCAACAAGGAGGUUGCUGAGAAGACAGAAAGACUAGUUUACAAAAUGAAAAACAGAAACUAUGUGUGAUUGUGUUUUAAUGGGAGUCCUUCAGAAUAGCCUUUUGUACAGGCAGGUCACCCGUGAUGCAAGACAGUAUUCAACAUCCAUUCAUGUCUGAGUUUGUUGGGAGAUGAAGUGGAAAACACUAGUGGCUACAGUGAGCGCUUCAAGUAUCUUUGAGGAAGAAAUCAUCAACAGACAUGCUGGACCCCUAUGUCAGAGAUGUGUUUCUGGGACCACAUCAUUUCUUUCAAGACAAUGACUCAAAGCACACAGCCGCUCGGGAUUGCAUUUACAUUGAUCAUCUCAGCAAGGUGUUACCGUGGUCGGGGAGCAACUAAAAUGUAGUUUAAAUAAACAUCUGCAUUUUGAA